CGAUUUAGUUAUUAGAUAGAUGCGGAGGCCCCACGCCCACGACACCGACACCGCAUGGAGUUGCUGGCCGCUCCCUUUACCCCAUCUGUCCCGCUUAGCGUCCUGGAGCAUCCUUAUCUGACGCAGAACUCGACAAAUGAAAGGGUCGCAAUGACAACUCAAUGUAAAAGUUAGGCAUGCAAACUAAGGACCGGGAUGUGGAUGGCAGUGAAAGCAGGAACAUGAAGUUUGAUAUCAUUAAAGGCCACUUAUGUGUCAAAUGCAACACAGCAGUGGCUGCGGCAGGACUCGCAGGAUUCGUAGGGAGACGGAACCAUACCGAGAAGUCGACGGCACACUUAAAUGUCAUUGAAAUUGAAGCUCACUUGACAAGUAAUGCUGGCGCAACACAACCAGCCCCUCCCCCCCCCCCUCCACAGCAACAUACGUAUGCAUGUGCAGCCCCCUUGGCAAGGGGGUUAACUUAAGUCAACUACACAAAAGCCAUGUCAGCAGACGCUGACAGAACCGCCCCAAAGCCAAAGCCCGUCUCGCCUUUAUAAAACUCGCUUGUGUGUGCGGCAAAAUGCUCCAGCUUUUUCUCUGGAUGAGCCUUGGAAGAUUGACAUUAUCUGUGGGCCCGAGUGAUUUGCCAGCGAUUGGAGAGGAGUAGCACGAAGGCAAGGUAGCUUGAGAAAGCGAAGCAGUUAAUACCCUGAUUAAUCCUUGAUGUGUUGAUCCAUCUUAGCAGUUAAGACGUGUUGUCCCUACAGCCCCAUAAGUUAGUGUGUAUAAGAUCUUCUAAUUCAAAAACCAUUUAUUUCAAAAUAGU
ensembl:ncRNA lncRNA:CR44349 long non-coding RNA:CR44349